UACGUAGGCAGCAAGCGUUGUUCGGAAUUACUGGGCGUAAAGAGUGCGUAGGCGGUGUCGAAAGUUUGGCGUGAAAUCUCCCGCUUAACUGGGAGGGUGCGCCGAAAACUGCGAUGCUGGAGUGUGGGAAAGGCAAGCGGAAUUCCUGGUGUAGCGGUGGAAUGCGCAGAUAUCAGGAGGAACACCGAUGGCGAAGGCAGGUCACUGGGCCGCAACUGACGCUGGAGGAGCGAAAGCAUGGGGAGCGAACAGG
rnacentral:rRNA from 1 species